rnacentral:rRNA from 1 species
UCCACGCUGUAAACGAUGGAUGCUAGGUGUGGGAGGUCUGAGAUUCCUUCUGCGCCGAAGCUAACGCAUUAAGCAUCCCGCCUGGGGAGUACGGUCGCAAGAUUAAAACUCAAAGGAAUUGACGGGGGCCCGCACAAGUGGUGGAGCAUGUGGUUUAAUUCGAUGCAACGCGAAAAACCUUACCCAGACUUGACAUCUCGGAAAGUUGAAUGAAAGUUUGAUGUGCCCUUGGGGAAUCCGAUGACAGGUGCUGCAUGGUUGUCGUCAGCUCGUGCCGUGAGGUGUUGGGUUAAGUCCCG